rnacentral:rRNA from 1 species
UGGGGAAUAUUGCACAAUGGGCGAAAGCCUGAUGCAGCGACGCCGCGUGAGGGAUGACGGCCUUCGGGUUGUAAACCUCUUUCAGUAGGGACGAAGCGCAAGUGACGGUACCUGCAGAAGAAGCACCGGCUAACUACGUGCCAGCAGCCGCGGUAAUACGUAGGGUGCGAGCGUUGUCCGGAAUUACUGGGCGUAAAGUGCUCGUAGGCGGUUUGUCACGUCGUCUGUGAAAUCCUAGGGCUUAACCCUGGACGUGCAGGCGAUACGGGCUGACGUGAGUACUACAGAGGAGACUGGAAUUUCUGGUGUAGCGGUGGAAUGCACAGAUAUCAGGAAGAACACCGAUGGCGAAGGCAGGUCUCUGGGUAGUAACUGACGCUGAGGAGCGAAAGCAUGGGUAGCGAACAGG